GCGACCUCGCGAGAGCAAGCGGAACUCAUAAAGUACGUCGUAGUCCGGAUUGGAGUCUGCAACUCGACUCCAUGAAGUCGGAAUCGCUAGUAAUCGUAGAUCAGAAUGCUACGGUGAAUACGUUCCCGGGCUUUGUACACACCGCCCGUCACACCAUGGGAGUGGGUUGCAAAAGAAGUAGGUAGCUUAACCUUCGGGAGGGCGCUUACCACUCUGUGAUUCAUGACUGGGGUGAAGUCGUAACAAGGUAACCA
rnacentral:rRNA from 1 species